rnacentral:rRNA from 1 species
UACGUAGGCAGCAAGCGUUGUUCGGAGUUACUGGGCGUAAAGGGUGUGUAGGCGGUUCUUUAAGUUUGGUGUGAAAUCUCCCGGCUCAACCGGGAGGGUGCGCCGAAUACUGAGGGACUAGAGUGUGGGAGAGGAAAGUGGAAUUCCUGGUGUAGCGGUGAAAUGCGUAGAUAUCAGGAGGAAAACCGGUGGUGUAGACGGCUUUCUGGACCAUAACUGACGCUGAGACACGAAAGCGUGGGUAGCAAACAGG